GUCAGCCACCUGGCUUUCUGCCUUUCAACUUCUCAGGUGAAAAUCAGACACAAAAUCCCCAUGUCUGUCAGCUUCAGGGGAUACAUGCCAACCUACUCAAGUGAUAGUCCUGAAGACUCUUUCAUUGGGCUUGGGGAGAACAUAUAAAGAACAUAAAGGAGACUAUUUUUGGUUUUUCAGUCACCAAAACUUAAGCCCCCAAUUCCUAAAGACCAGAUACAAUGUAUUCAAGUUGGGAAGAAGCAGACAACAAAAGAGGAAGUCAAAGAGCCAGACAUCCCAACACAGCACUGAAGCAACAUCGGAACCCACCUGCCUGAGUUGAAUCAAAAAGACAGACAGAACCAGAUGUAAUGGAGGAGUGUGCUCAGGACCCAAGGAUGGUACCACAGAGACCUUUCCUACUGGAGACUGAAGACCAAAUAGAAGAGCAGUCCAACAGAUUUCAGACUGUCAACAGCUGUGGCACAUGCCCCACCUAGCCCCACAGCUGUGAGACCAGAGCACCACUCCCCAGUGCCCAAUCCCUCCACAACCCUACCUUAGUCCUGGUACUUAGAUGAACCCCCAGAAGAAUUUUGGUGGGGGUGAAUGGAAUGAUCCUGAAUAAAAUGAAAUAAAGU